GGCGGACGGGUUAGGAAUACAUCGGAAUCUGCCCGGUUGUGGGGGAUAACGUAGGGAAACUUACGCUAAUACCGCAUACGACCGAAAGGUGAAAGCGUGGGACCGCAAGGCGUCGCGCGAUUGGAUGAGCCGAUGUCCGAUUAGCUAGUUGGCGGGGUAAAGGCCCACCAAGGCGACGAUCGGUAGCUGGUCUGAGAGGAUGAUCAGCCACACUGGAACUGAGACACGGUCCAGACUCCUACGGGAGGCAGCAGUGGGGAAUAUUGGACAAUGGGCGCAAGCCUGAUCCAGCCAUGCCGCGUGUGUGAAGAAGGCCUUCGGGUUGUAAAGCACUUUUGUUCGGGAAGAAAAGCACUCAAUUAAUACCUGGGUGUUCUGACGGUACCGAAAGAAUAAGCACCGGCUAACUUCGUGCCAGCCGCCGCGG
rnacentral:rRNA from 1 species